GAAAUGCUCAAAACUGACUUAAAAAAAUAAACAGGCUUUACAAAAACCCUCUUUUUUCUUAACCCAGCCACUUCUCGACAUGGUCUGCACAUACAGUAGAUACAUUCAUUAUUGUCCAAGGGAAGACAGUAACUGCCUUUCAUUUUAAAGAGCUUGGUGGAGAGGCUGAAGAAAUGUGCUGCAGCUGAAGCUACCUUUCCCCCAAGCACAGGAGGCCUCAGCUCCUGAAGCUCUGAAUUUACAGUACACAGUAGCAGACGGCUUGCCCUUUGGAAGGCUCCAUGGAAAGAAGGCUCAUCCCUGACUUGGGGCAACUUGACCGAAGUUUCUACUCUCCAGAAUCUCUUUUCUGU
rnacentral:lncRNA from 1 species